GUAAGCUCACCUCUCCUCACGCUCCCUACCCUCCCCCUGUCCUUCUGUAGAUACUAAUCGCACUGGUACAACCCUGUACGGGUGGCUGACUGAGAUAACAUAUAUUCUGAACAUAUACAUUGAAAACCCCCUUCCGGAUGGGCUCCAAAGACAAAGAACUCUGUCGAGAACCAAUGGGAUACGGACACCAGGCUGGAGGGGACUGUCUAUCACCUACAAGCAACCUACCAGAAGCCAGGACUACCAGAAUCUACCUACGUCAUUUUAAUGUAUUAAAAGGACUGCACAUCAUGUUUCGGUCUCUUUUUUUCGACAGUUCCAUAAGAGCUAGACGAAGGAGCCGUGCAGCACGUUUUGCCAGAAAUCAUUACGCAUUGAAUAAACGGUCUUUUAUUAUACCUUA